CUCGUCUGGCUGUUUUCCACACUGAGCAUGGCUGCAGUCCCACUGGAUUUCAAGGGUCUUGUUUUAGUUGCACUUUCAGCACGUAUCUCAAACCAUCUGUAAAAUCACUGGAGACAAGCUGCAGCAGAGCUGCCUUCAACAAGGAAUAUCACAAUAUUUUUGUAAUCCAGGCUACCGAGGCCAUAUAUCUCCUAGGAUGCCAACACACAGAACGGCACUGUCUUAGCUUCGUACAGAAGCCCUCAUUCGAGUCCCAUGUUCAAAAGAACUUUAUGAGGCCCGGAUCCGCCAUGGUACUUCAGAAAGGAAACUGAGAUGGAAUUACUCAGGACCACCAAUUAACAGUGGAAGUCAUUACACCCAACUUUUUCCAUUUAGAAACUGGACAUCUGAUCCAAGCGUGUUGCUUGUGCCCCUACUGCUGUCAAUGAGGGCUGGGAGCUUGCAGGAAGGCUGAUCGUUGUGUCCUAGGACUGGUGUCUGAGAGAAAUGGAUCAUCAAGGGAAUCUCCAUAAAUGAAGCACUUCUUUGCUAGAACUGGUCAAGAUGUACCUGCUAAUUUCUUUUUGUUUUAUUCCUCUCUGGAGAAUAUGUUACCUGACAAAUUGUACUUUUAAAAAGGAAAAAGGUAUGUGGCGCCAACACAGCCAUUGCAAUUAUCAACUUGUAUCUAUCUUUUUAAUAAUAAAGCUGAAGCUUUAUUCCCAAGAACAGUCUACCCCCCCUUGCAGAGUUUUCCUAGCGGAAAGAGCAUCAGUGUUUCAUACACAGGAGGUAUGUUUGUUUCUUUCUUUUUAUAACCAAUGCAAUGCUUUUAUGCUGAACUUGUCGACUUCUAAGCUGUCUCUAAGCAUGUAAAAGUAGCCCUAGUCUGUGCAACUGACCUCUGCCAUGAGUUUUGUUUAUCUCACAAGAUCCACAGAUAUAUUUGAUGGCACAGCACACAACGUUUUUCAUCUUUUUCGUUUAAGAUUCAAACGUACUCUCACUAAACCAUGUAUAAAUCAUGCUGGCCUGAGUUUUGUUUAAAGGGAUGUUGUUCUCCCCAAGGAAAACUAAUUCAUAAUAAUAAAACCAUAUUUAAAAUUUAUGAUAAUCACCUGUAGGUGUGAUAUUUACAUCAGUAUUUUCGACAAGUGAAAAAAAUGAGCAUAUCUAUCCAAAUAAUGUCCAUGUCUCUCCUCAGUUCUGUCACCAUCAUAUUUGUAAACCAACAACAUUACUUUCAUUUCCUAGUGUAGCCUGGUAGGAAUUUCACAGGAAAGCAUGGCAAAAAAUGUAUGAAAUCACUUUAUUUUGGCUGUGACUCCAUUUUAAGAACAUCAUAUCAUUUACCUACUUCAUGCAGGAAAAAGCAGCAGGCAAAUUACAAGUAAAUUUUACAUUCACAAAGUCUCCACUUUAAAUCAUCUGGCUGCUUGGAGGGUACUGCAUGCAUCUUAAAGAAAGCUGGGGAGCAUUUCUAUUAGAAAAUGCAUUGCUAGGUUGAGUUUUGCUCUGUGUGUGUAAGAGAAAGAGAGAAAACAAGCAAUUUUUUAGAGACAGUUACUGAAACAUUUUACUAACUCAGCACACGAAGAAACAGUAUCUUGAUAACAUAUAUUCAAACAGAUAUAGACAAGUUUCAGAUACAUAAGACAUUACCUUGAGGUCACAAGAGCUGAUUUCUAACAACGCCUUUGCUAGCACAGUAAGCUUGUCAAAGAGAUGUAUUCAGUAGCAUUGGUAUGCGUUUUUUUUGACAAAGGAGAGUGGCUGGGAAGGAUCUAAGCCAACACAUGGUGAUAGAAACAUAGAUGGAGGAACAUGAGAGUGAUUUAGCACAUGGUCUAGUCACUUGUUUUAUUUAUUUUUAACACUGAGUAGCAUUCAUAAUUAAUAUUGCAGUCUGAUUUCAUAUGGCUUUCUCUAAAGAUAGAUGUAAGUUCACAAAGGUCAAUGUCAAACUAAAUUAUUUGCCCUCCAAAAGUUGGAGGGCUUUCUAUUUUCUUUUCCUAACUGGAGAGGUCCUGGAGCUGUGGAGGAAAAUGGCUGCAGUGUCUAGCCACCCACCCUUCUGCAUUAAUAAUAAUAAUAAUAAUAACAAUAAUAAUAGUAACAACAAUAACAACAACAACAACAACAUAGAAGAUGUCAUUACCUGAGAUUGAACAAACUGGGGCUACAACUAAAACAAUGGUAUGGAAAGACAAAGAGAUGGUCAGAAUCCAAACAAAGAACCAGGCUCCUCUUUGGUCUUGUGCAAGUGCUGUGACCUGUGUCUGGGUGCUUGGUGUUGGAAGGUCCACAUCUGUGAUGAAGGUGCUGGGCAGAGAAGGGAGGGCAGUGUGCCUUGUCAGCCACCUAAAAAGUGGCUGAGGCACUUGAGGCAUGAAGAAUAACCUGGAGACAGGCCUAGACCCCAAGCGAGAUGCCAAAGGGUAGAGGAGGAAAAACAAGCAACACGUGCUCAGGGCGUGCAGUGCAUCUUCUGCCAAAUUUCUUCAUUAAAAAAAAAAAAAAAGGAAAAUUGAAAAGGAAGCCAUCAGCUCCCAUAUGCCCGCCCUGAGCUCUCUGGAAUGGUGUUUAGCUGGACAACGAGUCUGUGGUCAUGGCAAGGGAAGGGAGAAAAGCGAGGGACAGAGACAGGCCAAAGACAAGCAGAACGGCCUCAUGCUCUGCAGACUCUGCAGGCACCUUUGCUUACUUGCUUGUAGAGUUCUCCAGGGCAAGGCAAGACAGGAAUACAGAUGGAUAUGUUCCUUCUAGCAGGAAUACUUUUCUGCUGAUCUUGCUUACUCAUGGGACGAUAAAGGAGACUGAAACCGGAGCAUUUCAGGAGAUGUCUGAGCUGUUGUGCCACUGUUAUCUGGGCUAGGAGACUUCACCACCAGUGAGCGGCAGGAGCGAAAGGCUAGGCCAUCUGCCUUUUAGCUUACAGUGGGUAUUGGAUUAGUUCCCUACCUGGCAGAGCAUCAAAAAGAGCUGCUGCCUCUUACCUGGCAGAAAGAGAUUUUUUUGGUUCUUUGAGGUCUGCUUCAAAUGGGCUCAGAUUCAUGGCUGCUGAAUUUGCACGGGGGGAACAGGACACUCUCCCUAGAAAAUGAUAAUUUGCUUAACAUUGCUGUGAUAUCCCCAAGCAUUGAUACAGAGGUAAAGAGUGCUCUGGGUUAUAAAAGUCUUAGGGGGAGACAUUCACCUUGCUUUAAAUGAAAGUGUGGCAGGGAGGAAACAAAAAA